UGGUCAAGCAAUCAGUCAUCCCUCAGGCAUCAUUGGUCCUGGUCGUGUGCUGUAAUCAAUUUCAUUAUUUCAGAUAGCCAAUCGAAGAAGUGCAUUCUUUUGACCAAUGACACCACGGGGUAUUUUUAGACUAGACAGUGUCGCGUCACUCGUCUGCCAGCUGUCUGAGUUGACGGGCUUAUAAUAUAAACCUCGCAGCUUACCAGUACAGAACAACAUCACGGCCGCGCGGUGACGGAGUCCUUUGUCCUUUCAGCAUCCUACCUUUUAACAGGAUCUUAUUGGUGCCAUCAAGUCCGGAUUAACUGCAGCUGCAAUGUUCCUGGUGGGACUUAUUCUGGUGAGAGUUUGUCCGAUGCCAUCUCCACGGCUAGCUGUACGGUGACGUCCAGACAGAUCCUUCCCUGUGUAAAAGCCCCGCCAGAGGACCUGAAACUAAGAUAAGUUCUUGUGUGUCUUAUGGGGUGUAAAAUGGAAACAUGUCGCAGAAUUGGGCUGGGACUAACUUCUCGUCGGCAUGAUAAGAAGGAAAUGAUUUGUGCGGCCUUUUGUGCCUUAUAAACUACAACAAAGCAAGAAGCCUUCACGGCUUCAGGAAGGGUCUGUCCUGUGAGAGCCAGCUGGUGCUAACCCUCCAAGACCUGGCCAAGAACAUAGACCAGAACAAACAGGUCGAUGCCGCGGUGCUUGACUUUGGCAAAACAUUCGAUACCGUGCCUCACGAACGUCUGCUGAGCAAUCUCGAGCACUAUGGUAUUUCUGGCCUCCUUCAGUCUUGGCUUAGGGCUUUCCUUACGGAGAGAACCCAGAGGGUUGUCUUUGGCGGUGAAACAUCUAAAGCCGUCAAGGUCACCUCUAUCUGGAGUUCCGCAGGGUAUUGUGUUAGGCCCUCUACUCUUCCUGCUCUAUAUCAACGACCUACCCGAUUCCGUAGACAUGUUCGACUAUUUGCUGACGAUUGCUUGAUUUAUCGAACUAUCAGCAAGCCUUCUGAUGCUUUAGGUCUGCAGUCUGACCUCGAUGCGCUAACAGAAUGGCAAAUGCAGCAUGGCUUAUGUCGUUCAACCCCACUAAAUGUCACAUCCUCCAUAUCACCCGUAAGAAGCACCCCGUCUUAACUCAGUACUCCCUCUGCGGAGAAGCCCUCACCGGUGUUAAGUCCCACCCCUAUCUUGGAGCACAACUGUCCGAUGAAUUGCGGUGGGACACCCAUAUCAACUAAUAAUAACUAAUUUCGCUUUGUUGCUUCCAUGGCCAGGACCUUAUUGGUGCCAUCAAGGUGACGUCCAGAAAGAGCGGUGCUCGAGUUUACGCCCUGCCAAGGGACCUGAAACUAAGUUAAGUACUUUAAUACGUGUCUUCUCCGUUGAAAAUAUAUCGCAGGGAUGGGCUGAGACUAACUUUUCAUCGACAUGAUAGGAAGUAAAUUAUUAGUUGUGAUGAUUCGUUAAAUGAACUCUUAGUUGGAGGUAAGGUACUUUAGUGUGCUCUGUUGACAUUCCGAGCGAUGUUGUCGGGAAGGGUUUAUAUUAGAACAUUUUGUAAAUGGAGGCUCCUUUGCAUUCAGGGCUUCAGUCCGUUACUGUGGUGUACAGGCCUGGUGUGUGGCUGGUUUGGUUUCUGUGACUGUGUCGAUGGCCGGGAUGGCAUUCGGUCAAUUAUUUCAAAUUCUGUUCUUUACAAAACUGGGUUUUCCCUGGUUCACCAUCUGUCGUCAUUUCCGUUUUAUGUCAUGGUCAGUGGUUGUCGGGGACCUAGACUAUUACAUAAUCUGCCUCGUGUUGUUUUCUUGGGUCCCGAACCAAGAGAACGGCACAGGCCAGAAAGAAAGACAGGUGGCUGAAGAGCCUAUUUAAUAUUACUAGUUUAGUCGUUUAGAAAAAAAAAACUCGGCGUCGACAUAGUCACAGAAACUUAAUCAGCUAUGCAUUGGGCUUGUAUAUCACAGAAGCAGACUGAAGCAAUGAGAGCAGAAGUGGCCAUUGCUUUCGAAAAUUAAAGCAAAACAAAGGCAGCAUUAUGCCAUAAGCAGCAUUACUUAGGAUUUCAUCAAAGCACACACAACACCCUGCCACCAAACAAGAGAUAAUGAUUCCUCUCGCUAUUUCUAUGUUAAAACUAGAGCUGAAAUUACAAUGACAAAACAAAUGAACUUCCUGCCAUGCCAAUGCACGUAGCUGAGCUUUCUUUUAGGUAUAGUGUUAGAUAUAGUCUUAUAUUUCUGAGUUAGGUUUAAUUUCUGUCUCGUCUUUUCUCCCGAGGAUUAUCACACCGUAAGAAGAAAUAUCUGGACGCGGAAAGGGAGGCGAGGACUGACGAAGGAAGGUGCCGAACGUGAGCGAAUGGGCUUCGCAGUCUUCUAUGACAAGAAGUGUCUGGGCUUGGUAAGCGAGGAAAGAAAGGCACAGGGAAAUGGAGGUUUCAAAGUGUCGCCGUUACUGCAAGUGCUUUCGUGACGACGUCCGGUGCAUCACCAGCCAGGGCACGCCUGAUUCGACAUAGACAAGCAAUGUCUGAACGUUACGGGUACCGUCACCGAAGGCGCUUCACAACAUCCGGGAAGACGGUGGUCCUGGCGGAAGGCGUCUUAGUGUCUUCCCUCGUAGCUGGAUUUCAGAAGCUUCUUGAGAUGAAAUUCCAUAACUGGAUAAAUGUCUGGACGCCAUAAGGAAGGCAAGGUCAAGCGUCACCGUCACUGACAUGACAAUAUCGUGCUUCGUGACAACACCACGUGCAUCACCAAGGAGGUGGACUGUCGUUUCCCAUAUAAUAAGUUGUUUGUGUUGAACAAUAUUGUCUGAAUGCAGUAGCAAAGCAAUAUUUGUUAUUUUUUUAACAUUACACUGAACCAAGGAGAUUCAAUCAAACCUCCUUGAUUAAACCUGUGUUUGAGAAUAUAUAAAGUUUAUUGCAAAUUCUUGCCCUUGGGCUAAUUGCAGGUAACAUAAAAGAUUCAAACAGUGUAAAAAACAAUAUCACAAGUGUCUGCUCUGGUCUAAAGCUAGUCUGAUGUCCUUGUAACUUGGCGAAUGUAAGCUUGGUUUCAGUAGGGCGUUAAGGCAUUUUGUAAAUGGAGGCUCCUUUUGCCCUCAUAGCUAAAGCCCGUUUCUGUGGUGUACAAGCUUGGCGUGUGGCUGAUUUUAUUUCAUGUGACUCUGUCGAUGGCCGGAAUUGUAUUCGGUCAGUUACUGUUAAUUCUGUUCUUUAUAAACAGGGUCUUCCCUGGUUCACCAUCUGUUGUAAUUUCUGUUUUAUGUCAUGGUCAGUGGUUGUCGGGGACCUAGACCAUUACAUAAUCUGCCUCGUGUUGUUUUCUUGGGUCCCGAACCAAGAGAACGGCACAGGCCAGAAAGGAAGGCAGGUGGUUGAAAGGCCUUCUUUUAUUUUAGUAUUUUAGUCCUUUUAGAAAUGCUAGAGUUCGUGGUAUCGUGGUUCGCAGUCACAGAAACCGAAUCAAUGCAAACAGAAUGCAAAGUGUACAAUUGUUCAGUUAUCAUAUAUAUCACGAUAGUAGAUACUUGUACAUAUAGUUACGCCUACUUACCUUAUGUGUUAGGUAUAGUUUUCCCAUAUUUUUGAGUGAAGAUCUCGUCUUUUUUUGUAAAGAGGCUUGGAGAUGUAGUGCUGUUUAGGCGCCUUUUGUUAGCAGCCUCUGUUUUUCAGUGUAUUUGUUUGAUGCCCUUCCAGUACAGGGGUGGCUGACACUGGAUUGUUUUGUGUGUUUCACUUAUUUUCAUUGUCGCAGAAAAGUGGUCUACAUGUUAGAAUUUAGUAAAUGUCAACAUUGUCCGUUUAUUGUGUAGAGGUUGUAGCCCUUUAAAUCAGUUGUUUGGAAAUUUCCCUAGUAACUGAGGCUAAGGCUGGCGCUGGCGCUGACACUAACACAAGACAAACACAUACACACAUACACACUAACAGACUAACCCCACCAAACACACACAUUUUUCACGGACACUAAUAAUCAGCGCAAAUGCCUUAGCCUUAGACUGAAAAAAAAUCUAUGAUUCUUCAAGUACAAGGCUCCACGCUACCUCUAUACCAUGUACUGACAAUGUCAAUAUUUACUGAUUUUUAGCUCUUUUAUCCACUAUGUCCUAGAGUGAGGGUAAGUUCAUUUUUGAUUCUAGAGUAUCUUCAUUUGUUAUGAGGUUUAUAUAUUAUACACUUUGCAUUUCUCUAUUUUGCUAAUAAACAAAUAUGUUGAAAUCGGA